rnacentral:rRNA from 1 species
AAACCUUUACCACUGUACGCCAAGUGCGAUAAGGGGACUCCGAGUGUGAAGGCAUAGAGCCUUCACUUUUGUACACCGUAAGGUGGUGUACGAAUAAGGACUGGGCAAGACCGGUGCCAGCCGCCGCGGUAAUACCGGCAGUCCGAGUGAUGGCCGAUCUUAUUGGGCCUAAAGCGUCCGUAGCUGGCUAGACAAGUCCGUUGGGAAAUCUGCCCGCUUAACGGGCAGGCGUCCAGCGGAAACUGUCUAGCUUGGGACCGGAAGACCUGAGGGGUACGUCUGGGGUAGGAGUGAAAUCCUGUAAUCCUGGACGGACCGCCGGUGGCGAAAGCGCCUCAGGAGAACGGAUCCGACAGUGAGGGACGAAAGCUAGGGUCUCGAACCGGAUUAGAUACCCGGGUAGUCCUAGCUGUAAACGAUGUCCGCUAGGUGUGGCGCAGGCUACGAGCCUGCGCUGUGCCGUAGGGAAGCCGAGAAGCGGACCGCCUGGGAAGUACGUCUGCAAGGAUGAAACUUAAAGGAAUUGGCGGGGGAGCACUACAACCGGAGGAGCCUGCGGUUUAAUUGGACUCAACGCCGGACAUCUCACCAGCCCCGACAGUAGUCAUGACGGUCAGGUUGAUGACCUUACCCGACGCUACUGAGAGGAGGUGCAUGGCCGCCGUCAGCUCGUACCGUGAGGCGUCCUGUUAAGUCAGGCAACGAGCGAGACCCGCACUCCUAAUUGCCAGCAGUACCCUUUGGGUAGCUGGGUACAUUAGGGGGACUGCCGCUGCUAAAGCGGAGGAAGGAACGGGCAACGGUAGGUCAGUAUGCCCCGAAUGGGCUGGGCAACACGCGGGCUACAAUGGUCGAGACAAUGGGAAGCCACUCCGAGAGGAGGCGCUAAUCUCCUAAACUCGAUCGUAGUUCGGAUUGAGGGCUGAAACUCGCCCUCAUGAAGCUGGAUUCGGUAGUAAUCGCGUGUCAGCAGCGCGCGGUGAAUACGUCCCUGCUCCUUGCACACACCGCCCGUCAAAUCACCCGAGUGGGGUUCGGA